rnacentral:tRNA from 1 species
UAGCUCAGUUGGGAGAGCAUGGUGUUUGCAACGCCAGGGUUGUGGGUUCGAUUGCCAC